CAUCUCUGGGUCUGCCAUGAGCACGCCCGGCCCCUUGCGCUUCACGUCCUUGGUCUUAGCCUUCUUGUCUUCUGGGUCAGCUUCGGGAAGCUCGAGGAGGAAGAGGCGCCCCUCGUCAGCCCUUGCACACUUGUUGGCCAUGUUGAACAUCUCCAGGGCUGUGCAGAGAUCCUCAUGGAUGGCGAACUCCUCCUUCAUCUUGACAUCACAGAUGCCAUCAGUGAACGCUGAGAUGAUGGGCUCGUCCAACACCUUGAGGUUCUUGAGGCGAACGUUGUUGAAGUGUGGAUAUACUUAUGCAGGGUGUCUCCAGGUUUCUGUUGGAAAUAUGCCCUAGAGGCAAUAAUAAAAGCAUUAUUAUUAUAUUUCCUUGUUCAUGAUAAUUGUCUUUAUUCAUGCUAUAAUUGUGUUAUCCGGAAAUCGUAAUACAUGUGUGAAUAACAGACAUCAACAUGUCCCUAGUGAGCCUCUAGUUGACUAGCUCGUUGAUCAACAAAUAGUCAUGGUUUCCUGACUAUGGACACUGGAUGUCAUUGAUAACGAGAUCACAUCAUUAGGAGAAUGAUGUGAUGGACAAGACCCAAUCCUAAACAUAGCACAAGAUCGUAUAGUUCGUUUGCUAGAGUUUUCCAAUGUCAAAGUAUCUUUUCCUUAGACCAUGAGAUCGUGUAACUCCCGGAUACCGUAGGAGUGCUUUGGGUAUGCCAAACGUCACAACGUAACUGGGUGACUAUAAAGGUAGACUACGGGUAUCUCCGAAAGUGUCUGUUGGGUGACAUGGAUCAAGACUGGGAUUUGUCACUCCGUAUGACGGAGAGGUAUCACUGGGCCCACUCGGUAAUGCAUCAUCAUAAUGAGCUCAGAGUGACCAAGUGUCUGGUCACGGGAUCAUGCAUUACGGUACGAGUAAAGUGACUUGCUGGUAACGAGAUUGAACGAGGUAUUGGGAUACCGACGAUCGAAUCUCGGGCAAGUAACAUAUCGAUAGACAAAGGGAAUAGCGUACGGGGUUGAUUUUAUCCUCGACAUCGUGGUUCAUCCGAUGAGAUCAUCGUGGAGCAUGUGGGAGCCAACAUGGGUAUCCAGAUCCCGCUGUUGGUUAUUGACCGGAGAGUCGUCUCGGUCAUGUCUGCUUGUCUCCCGAACCCGUAGGGUCUACACACUUAAGGUUCGGUUACGCUAGGGUUGUAGGGAUAUGUAUAUGCAGUAACCCGAAUGUUGUUCGGAGUCCCGGAUGAGAUCCCGGACGUCACGAGGAGUUCCGGAAUGGUCCGGAGGUAAAGAUUUAUAUAUGGGAAGUCCUGUUUCGGGCAUCGGGACAAGUUUCGGGGUUAUCGGUAUUGUACCGGGACCACCGGAAGGGUCCCGGGGGUCCACCGGGUGGGUCCACCUGUCCCGGGGGGGCACAUGGGCUGUAGGGGGUGCGCCUUGGCCUAAUGGGCCAAGGGCACCAGCCCCACAUAGGCCCAUGUGCCUAGGGUUUAAGGGGGAAAGAGUCCUAGGAGGGGAAGGCACCUCCUAGGUGCCUUGGGGGGGAGGGAAACCCCCCUUGGCCGCCGCACCCCCUAGGAGAUUGGAUCUCCUAGGGCCGGCCACCCCCCCUUGGCCCUCCUAUAUAUAGUGGGGGAGAGGAGGGACUUUAUACCUGAACGCCUUGGCCUUUGGUUGCCUCCUUCUCCCUCCCCAACACCUCCUCCACCUUCAUAGUGCUUAGCGAAGCUCUGCCGGAGUACUGCAGCUCCAUCAACACCACGCCGUCGUGCUGCUGCUGGUGCCAUCUCCCUCAACCUCUCCUCCCUCCCUUGCUGGAUCAAGAAGGAGGAGACGUGGCUGUUCCGUACGUGUGUUGAACGCGGAGGUGCCGUCCGUUCGGCGCUGGUCAUCGGUGAUUUGGAUCACGUCGAGUACGACUACAUCAUCACCGUUCUUUUGAACGCUUCCGCUCGCGAUCUCCAAAGGUAUGUAGAUGCAUCUAAUCACUCGUUGCUAGAUGAACUCCUAGAUGAUCUUGGUGAAACGAGUAGGAAAAUUUUUGUUUUCUGCAACGUUACCCAACAGGUGGCAUCAUGAGCUAGGUCUAUGCGUAGUUAUUCUUGCGCGAGUAGAACACAAUUUGUUGUGGGCGUAGAUUUGUCAACUCUCUUGCCCUUACUAGUCCUUUCUUGCUUCAGCGGUAUUGUGGGAUGAAGCGGCCCGGACCAACCUUACACGUACGCUUACGUGAGACCGGUUCCACCGACUAACAUGCACUAGUUGCAUAAGGUGGCUGGCGGGUGUCUGUCUCUCCUACUUUAGUUGGAGCGGAAUCGAUGAACAGGGUCCUUAUGAAGGGUAAAUAGAAGUUGACAAAUCACGUUGUGGCUUUAACGUAGGUAAGAAAACGUUCUUGCUAGAACCCUAAUUCAGCCACGUAAAAACUUGCAACAACAAUUAGAGGACGUCUAACUUGUUUUUGCAGCAAGUGGUUUGUGAUAUGAUAUGGCCAAAGUUGUGAUGAAUGAUGAAUGAUCUAUAUGUGAUGUAUGAGAUGUUCAUGCUAUUGUAAUAGGAAUCAUGACUUGCAUGUCGAUGAGUAUGACAACCGGCAGGAGCCAUAGGAGUUGUCUUUAUUCUUUUAUAUGACCUGCGUGUCAUCAAGAAACGCCAUGUAAAUUACUUUACUUUAUUGCUAAACGCGUUAGCCAUAGUAGUAGAAGUAAUAGUUGGCGAGCAACUUCAUGGAGACACGAUGAUGGAGAUCAUGAUGAUGGAGAUCAUGGUGUCAAGCCGGUGACAAGAUGAUCAUGGAGCCCCAAGAUGGAGAUCAAAGGAGCUAUGUGAUAUUGGCCAUAUCAUGUCACGUUUAUUAUUUGAUUGCAUGUGAUGUUUAUCAUGUUUUGCAUAUUGUUUACUUAGAACGACGGUAGUAAAUAAGAUGAUCCCUCACAAUAAAUUCAAGAAGUGUUCCCCCUAACUGUGCACCGUUGCGACAGUUCGCUGUUUCAAAACACCACGUGAUGAUCGGGUGUUUUAUUCAGACGUUCACAUACAACGGGUGUAAGACAGAUUUACACAUGCAAACACUUAGGUUGACUUGACGAGCCUAGCAUGUACAGACAUGGCCUCGGAACACAGAAGACCGAAAGGUCGAGCAUGAGUCGUAUAGAAGAUACGAUCAACAUGAAGAUGUUCACCGAUGUUGACUAGUCCGUCUCACGUGAUGAUCGGACACGGUCUAGUUUAACUCGGAUCAUGUAAUACUUAGAUGACUAGAGGGAUGUCUAAUCUAAGUGGGAGUUCACUAAUAAUUUGAUUAGUUGAACUUAAUUAUCAUGAACUUAGUCUAAAAUCUUUGCAAUAUGUCUUGUAGAUCAAAUGGCCAACGUAGUCCUCAACUUCAACGUGUUCCUAGAGAAAACUAAGCUGAAAGACGAUGGCAGCAACUAUACGGACUGGGUCCGGAACCUGAGGAUCAUCCUCAUAGCUGCCAAGAAAGAUUAUGUCCUACAAGCACCGCUUGGUGACGCACCCGUUCUCCCUGCGGAACAAGACGUUAUGAACGCUUGGCAGGCACGUUCCGAUGACUACUCCCUCGUUCAGUGCGGCAUGCUUUACAGCCUAGAGCCGGGGCUCCAAAAGCGUUUUGAGAGACAUGGAGCAUAUGAGAUGUUCGAAGAGCUGAAAAUGGUUUUCCAAGCUCAUGCCCGGGUCGAGAGAUAUGAAGUCUCCGACAAAUUCUUCAGCUGUAAGAUGGAGGAAAACAGUUCUGUCAGUGAGCACAUACUCACUAUGUCUGGGUUGCAUAACCGCUUGACUCAGCUGGGAGUUAAUCUCCCGGAUGAUGCGAUCAUUGACAGAAUCCUCCAGUCGCUUCCACCAAGCUACAAGAGCUUUGUGAUGAACUUCAAUAUGCAGGGGAUGAAAAAGACCAUUCCUGAAGUAUUUUCUAUGCUGAAAUCAGCAGAGGUAGAAGUCAGGAAGGAACAUCAAGUGUUGAUGGUCAAUAAAACCACUAAGUUCAAGAAAGGCAAGGGUAAAAAGAACUUCAAGAAGGACGGCAAGGAGGUUGCCGCGCCCGGCAAGCUAGCUGCCGGGAAGAAGCCAAAGAAUGGACCCAAGCCUGAGACUGAGUGCUUUUAUUGCAAGGAAAGCGGUCACUGAAAGCGGAACUGCCCUAAGUACUUAGCGGAUAAGAAGGCCGGCAAAACAAAAGGUAUAUGUGAUAUACAUGUAAUUGAUGUGUACCUUACUAGUGCCCGUAGUGGCUCCUGGGUAUUUGAUACCGGUGCAGUUGCUCACAUUUGUAACUCAAAGCAGGGGCUGCGGAAUAAGCGGAAACUGGCAAAGGACGAGGUGACGAUGCGCGUCGGGAAUGGUUCCAAGGUCAAUGUGAUCGCCGUCGGCACGCUACCUCUGCAUCUCCCUUCAGGAUUAGUUUUAAACCUUAAUAAUUGUUAUUUAGUGCCAGCUUUGAGCAUGAACAUUGUAUCAGGAUCUCGUUUAAUUCGAGAUGGCUACUCUUUUAAAUCUGAGAAUAAUGGUUGUUCUAUUUUUAUGAGAGAUAUGUUUUAUGGUCAUGCUCCUAUGGUGAAUGGUUUAUUCUUUAUGAAUCUCGAACGUGAUGCUACACAUGUUCAUAAUGUGAGUACCAAAAGAAGUAAGGUUGAUAAUGAUAGUCCCACAUACUUGUGGCACUGCCGCCUUGGUCACAUAGGUGUCAAACGCAUGAAGAAGCUCCAUGCUGAUGGACUUUUAGAGUCUCUUGAUUAUGUAUCAUUUGACACGUGCGAACCAUGCCUUAUGGGUAAAAUGACCAAGACUCCGUUCUCAGGAACAAUGGAGCGAGCAACCGACUUAUUGGAAAUCAUACAUACUGAUGUGUGCGGUCCGAUGAGUGUUGAGGCUCGCGGUGGCUAUCGUUAUGUUCUCACUCUCACUGAUGAUUUAAGUAGGUAUGGGUAUAUCUACUUAAUGAAACACAAGUCUGAAACCUUUGAAAAGUUCAAGGAAUUUUAGAGUGAGGUUGAAAAUCAACGUGACAGGAAAAUCAAGUUUCUGCGAUCAGAUCGUGGAGGAGAAUACUUGAGUCACGAGUUUGGGGCACACUUAAGAAAAUGUGGAAUAGUUUCACAACUCACGCCGCCUGGAACACCUCAGCGUAAUGGUGUGUCCGAACGUCGUAAUCGCACUCUGUUAGAUAUGGUGCGAUCUAUGAUGUCUCUUACCGAUUUACCGCUUUCUUUUUGGGGCUAUGCUUUAGAGACUGCCGCAUUCACUUUAAAUAGGGCUCCGUCGAAAUCCGUUGAGACGACACCGUAUGAAUUAUGGUUUGGGAAGAAACCUAAGCUGUCGUUUCUAAAAGUUUGGGGAUGCGAUGCUUAUGUCAAGAAACUUCAACCUGAAAAGCUCGAACCCAAGUCGGAAAAAUGCGUCUUCAUAGGAUACCCAAAAGAAACUAUUGGGUACACCUUCUACCUCAGAUCCGAAGGCAAGAUCUUUGUUGCCAAGAAUGGGUCCUUUCUGGAGAAAGAGUUUCUCUCAAAAGAAGUAAGUGGGAGGAAAAUAGAGCUUGAUGAAGUAUUACCUCUUGAACCGGAAAAUGGCGCAACUCAAGAAAAUGUUCCUGAGGUGCCAGCACCGACUAGAGAGGGAGUUAAUGAUAAUGAUCAAGAUACUUCUGAUCAAGCCCCUACUGAAAUUCGAAGGUCCACAAGGACACGUUCCGCACCAGAGUGGUACGGCAACCCUGUCUUGGAAAUCAUGUUGUUAGACAACGGUGAACCUUCGAACUAUGAAGAAGCGAUGGCGGGCCCGGAUUCCGACAAAUGGCUAGAAGCCAUGAAAUCCGAGAUAGGAUCCAUGUAUGAAAACAAAGUAUGGACUUUGACUGACUUGCCCGUUGAGCGGCGAGCCAUAGAAAAUAAAUGGAUCUUUAAGAAGAAGACAGGCGCGGAUGGUAAUGUGACCAUCUAUAAAGCUCGGCUUGUCGCUAAGGGUUAUCGACAAGUUCAAGGGGUUGACUACGAUGAGACUUUCUCACCGGUAGCGAAGCUGAAGUCCGUCCGAAUCAUGUUAGCAAUUGCCGCAUUCUAUGAUUACGAAAUAUGGCAAAUGGACGUCAAAACGGCAUUCCUUAAUGGUUUCCUUAAGGAAGAAUUGUAUAUGAUGCAGCCGGAAGGUUUUGUCGAUCCUAAGAAUGCUGACAAAGUGUGCAAGCUCCAACGCUUGAUUUAUGGGCUGGUGCAAGCAUCUCGGAGUUGGAACAUUCGCUUUGAUGAGAUGAUCAAAGCGUUUGGGUUUACACAGACUUAUGGAGAAGCCUGCGUUUACAAGAAAGUGAGUGGGAGCUCUGUAGCAUUUCUCAUAUUAUAUGUAGAUGACAUACUUUUGAUGGGAAAUGAUAUAGAACUCUUGGACAGCAUCAAGGCCUACUUGAAUAAAAGUUUUUCAAUGAAGGACCUUGGAGAAGCUGCUUAUAUAUUAGGCAUCAAAAUCUAUAGAGAUAGAUCGAGAUGCCUCAUAGGUCUUUCACAAAGCACAUACCUUGAUAAGAUAUUGAAGAAGUUCAACAUGGAUCAAUCCAAGAAGGGGUUCUUGCCUGUGUUGCAAGGUAUGAAAUUGAGCUCAGCUCAAUGUCCGACCACGGCAGAAGAUAUAGAAGAGAUGAGCGUCAUCCCCUAUGCCUCAGCCAUAGGUUCUAUUAUGUAUGCCAUGCUGUGUACCAGACCUGAUGUAAACCUUGCCGUAAGUUUGGUAGGAAGGUACCAAAGUAAUCCCGGCAAGGAACACUGGACAGCGGUCAAGAAUAUCCUGAAGUACCUGAAAAGGACUAAGGAAAUGUUUCUCGUUUAUGGAGGUGACGAAGAGCUCGUCGUAAAGGGUUACGUCGACGCUAGCUUCGACACAGAUUUGGAUGACUCUAAGUCACAAACCGGAUACGUGUAUAUUUUGAAUGGUGGGGCAGUAAGCUGGUGCAGUUGCAAGCAAAGCGUCGUGGCGGGAUCUACAUGUGAAGCGGAGUACAUGGCAGCCUCGGAGGCAGCACAUGAAGCAAUAUGGGUGAAGGAGUUCAUCACCGACCUAGGAGUCAUACCCAAUGCGUCGGGGCCGAUCAAGCUCUUCUGUGACAACACUGGAGCUAUUGCACUUGCCAAGGAGCCCAGGUUUCACAAGAAGACAAGGCACAUCAAGCGUCGCUUCAACUCCAUUCGUGAAAAUGUUCAAGAUGGAGACAUAGAGAUUUGUAAAGUACAUACGGACCUGAAUGUAGCAGAUCCGUUGGCUAAACCUCUCCCUAGAGCAAAACAUGAUCAACACCAGAAUUCCAUGGGUGUUCGAUUCAUCACAAUGUAACUAGAUUAUUGACUCUAGUGCAAGUGGGAGACUGUUGGAAAUAUGCCCUAGAGGCAAUAAUAAAAGCAUUAUUAUUAUAUUUCCUUGUUCAUGAUAAUUUUCUUUAUUCAUGCUAUAAUUGUGUUAUCCGGAAAUCGUAAUACAUGUGUGAAUAACAGACAUCAACAUAUCCCUAGUGAGCCUCUAGUUGACUAGCUCGUUGAUCAACAAAUAGUCAUGGUUUCCUGACUAUGGACACUGGAUGUCAUUGAUAACGAGAUCACAUCAUUAGGAGAAUGAUGUGAUAGACAAGACCCAAUCCUAAACAUAGCACAAGAUCGUAUAGUUCGUUUGCUAGAGUUUUCCAAUGUCAAAGUAUCUUUUCCUUAGACCAUGAGAUCGUGUAACUCCCAGAUACCGUAAGAGUGCUUUGGGUAUGCCAAACGUCACAACGUAACUGGGUGACUAUAAAGGUAGACUACGGGUAUCUCCGAAAGUGUCUGUUGGGUGACAUGGAUCAAGACUGGGAUUUGUCACUCCGUAUGACGGAGAGGUAUCACUGGGCCCACUCGGUAAUGCAUCAUCAUAAUGAGCUCAGAGUGACCAAGUGUCUGGUCACGGGAUCAUGCAUUACGGUACGAGUAAAGUGACUUGCUGGUAACGAGAUUGAACGAGGUAUUGGGACACCGACGAUCGAAUCUCGGGCAAGUAACAUAUCGAUAGACAAAGGGAAUAGCGUACGGGGUUGAUUGAAUCCUCAACAUCGUGGUUCAUCCGAUGAGAUCAUCGUGGAGCAUGUGGGAGCCAACAUGGGUAUCCAGAUCCCGCCGUUGGUUAUUGACCGGAGAGUCGUCUCGGUCAUGUCUGCUUGUCUCCCGAACCCGUAGGGUCUACACACUUAAGGUUCGGUUACGCUAGGGUUGUAGGGAUAUGUAUAUGCAGUAACCCGAAUGUUGUUCGGAGUCCCGGAUGAGAUCCCGGACGUCACGAGGAGUUCCGGAAUGGUCCGGAGGUAAAGAUUUAUAUAUGGGAAGUCCUAUUUCGGGCAUCGGGACAAGUUUCGGGGUUAUCGGUAUUGUACCGGGACCACCGGAAGGGUCCCGGGGGUCCACCGGGUGGGUCCACCUGUCCCGGGAGGGCCACAUGGGCUGUAGGGGGUGCGCCUUGGCCUAAUGGGCCAAGGGCACCAGCCCCACAUAGGCCCAUGCGCCUAGGGUUUAAGGGGGAAAGAGUCCUAGGAGGGGAAGGCACCUCCUAGGUGCCUUGGGGGGAGGGAAACCCCCCUUGGCCGCCGCACCCCCUAGGAGAUUGGAUCUCCUAGGGCCGGCCACCCCCCCUUGGCCCUCCUAUAUAUAGUGGGGGAGAGGAGGGACUUUAUACCUGAACGCCUUGGCCUUUGGUUGCCUCCUUCUCCCUCCCCAACACCUCCUCCACCUCCAUAGUGCUUAGCGAAGCUCUGCCGGAGUACUGCAGCUCCAUCAACACCACGCCGUCGUGCUGCUGCUGGUGCCAUCUCCCUCAACCUCUCCUCCCUCCCUUGCUGGAUCAAGAAGGAGGAGACGUGGUUGUUCCGUACGUGUGUUGAACGCGGAGGUGCCGUCCGUUCGGCGCUGGUCAUCGGUGAUUUGGAUCACGUCGAGUACGACUACAUCAUCACCGUACCUUUGAACGCUUCCGCUCGCGAUCUACAAAGGUAUGUAGAUGCAUCUAAUCACUCGUUGCUAGAUGAACUCCUAGAUGAUCUUGGUGAAACGAGUAGGAAAAUUUUUGUUUUCUGCAACGUUACCCAACAGUUUCUACUUGAUGCAACGCAGGUCACCCGCGACAAGCGAACGGUCGCGAGUGCCCUAGAAGUUGGCGAUGAUGCGGCCGCGCAUUUCCUCCCAAGAAGAGACCGACCCCUCGGUAAGGUUCAGGAGCCAAGAACGCGCGCCUUGAGGGACAUCGGGAACCAGUUUGCCAUGAUCUUCUCGUCACUGCUAGCCGCCUCGAUGCUCAGAUCGUAGGUGCCAUUGUAGCACGGAGGCAGGUCAUGCUUGAACUUGCUCGGCCAGACAAUGUUGCGGAGCUCCGGGGUGAAUGCGUUACAUCCUGUUGUGGCCACUGGAGCCCGUCAAGGUGGUGGAACCUGGUCCUGGUGCACGCGCACCACCACCUCCUUUGGCGGUACGCGGGCCUGGUGGGGGGAUGCUGGAAGUACACGCGCUUCUCCUUGAGGUCGAUGCACCAACUAGCAUCUCACAUCCUCCCGAGCAGGCGCCGGGCGCGGCGGGUCGCGCCACGGUGCCACACGCCUUGGCUCAAUGAUGACGCCCUGGGCCGGAGGUGGUGGAGGAACCCCAUGAGCCACAUCACCCAUGGUAGGCAGCUGCUGAGGCAGUGAGCGGGCCGGAGCGGCAGAGCCCCCGGACACGCUGACGAGCUCAGCGAUCCGCUCGAGCCACUCCUCGUAGAAGUCGUCGACCGGGAGGUAGCGAAGGAGCUCCCGCGCCAUGAGCAGAGCGGCUUGCGCGUUCGCCGGGCCGUGACGUGCGUGGGAGGAUGAAGCUGCUGGAGUCAAUGAUGGAGUGGUGGUGCGCCAGUCGCGGCGCACGGAAGUGUGCAACGAAGAAGCUUGCUGCUCGUGGCCGGCAGGGUGACAGAAAAUUGAAAUGGGGAUGAUAGAAACCCCAGCACCACCUAACUCAACUAGGGUUACUAAAAUACUUUUCCAACGAACCCAAAAUGCCCUUCUAAAAUGUUCAUCAUCUUGGCAUUGGUCUAGAACCUCUCCUAAAAAUGGUGCACAUUUUUCUAGACCAUUCUAGAUUUUUGAAUUAAAUCAUAUGUUAUUUGCAUUUGGACAUUUAAAUUGUCCAAAUAAUCAUAAACUAAAAUGUUUAUUGUUUGAUAUAUUUCAAAUAGUGGGCCUGAGCAGUUUCAUGAUUUUUGAGUUAGUAUACUAAGAAUACUAGGCCCGUAAGGGUUCCAUAUUUCUGGUUUUUCUGGAUUUUUUUACCUAUGAUGUUUGAGCGACACGUUGCCUCCAUGUGUGCAGUACAUCCUACAGCGGCCAUCCUUUGUUUUCUCUUUAAUAUUUGUUUGACGGCGCGUCACAUGCAUGUCUUGGUCCAGUUCACGUGAGCUUUUCUGGUGGCCUUCUAGAUUUCCUGCGAUUGUUACAUGGGCCACGCAUGCCGCCACGUCUGCCUCACAUGUUGUUGACUGGCAGUUUACUGAUGGACACAUUGCCUUCUGGGCUUUUACCUUCUUUGUUGGGGCGACGCGUGUGCGUGAAAGUUUUCUGGGAUGUGUUCGAUUCCAUUCUUCCUUUGCUUGGACUGUUCAAGCACAUUUUGUUUAUUGCUGCAUAGGUGUGGUGGACUCUCCUGGAAGGUUUUUCCUUAAAAAAAGAGGUGUAUGGGCUGAUUUUGUCUCAUGCCAAAAGAUUAGGUUGACCACGCAUGGCUCUUCUAGACAUGUAUGGGUAGGUUUUGUUUUUAGCUCAUGCAUGCAUGCAUGUGGCCACGUUUUCCUGUUGUAUAGUUGUCUCUCUAUGUUAUGGAUGGACACGAUGUGUUCUUGGUCUUUCUGGUGGGUUUUUUUUUCAUCUCCUUUUGCUUGCCUAUAAGUAGCUCCUUGCUAUGUUGGUCCUUCAUUCAGUUUCCACGUCCUUCCCUAGAUUGGUCUUCUCAAUUCAGUUUUUGCCUCACUGCCGCAUCCAUUCUCUCUAGGCUCUAGCACCGUCUUGCCUCCGGCAAUUGGAGACGAAGCAUCUGGUCAUGGAAAGCCGCAUCAGGACGUUCGGUCCGGUGGUCAUGGCGCACCAUGAUGGUCCGCCGCCUACAGCCGACGCACCGGAGUGCACAGUAGCAAGCACCAGUUUGAGGUGAGGAUAUCGCAUUGGUCUCCUGUUGCUCACAUGCGAGGCCUCGGACGAGCGGCCAAAUCCACGUGAGGUGGAUGUUGCAGGCACGGCCAUCUCCCCUUCCUUCCUUCCUUCUUUUUCCCUCCAACUACCAUGUUAUCUUUACCAUGUCUUCUUUCCUUGUUGUAUUGUUUUUUCACCCAUGGGGAUAGAGAUGUUACCUCAGUCGGCAAUGAAGCCAGUGAUUUGUAUCCAAUAAUUUUCGUUAAUACGGUAACAACUUAUUUCAGUCCACCUGACGGAACGAGUCUCUAUCUGAUGAUGUCAGAACUUACAGAAAGUUUCUAAAAUAAAUUAUGACAUGGUAUUUUUCUUCACUCUUGAUUUGUUCCAUUUGUAUUAUCCGCUCCGCCCUAGGUUCGUCCCCAAAAUUAUAAAAUUUGGAGCCUCCCGUUGAAGGUCCAAGGAGGUGGAAGCAUGAACAAUGCCCUCAUCAAAUCAACUUAAUUGGAUUCGAAUUGAAGGAUGACUUUUGAGAAAAGGUAGUACGUAACUUCAUUUAUAUUAUGCACUUGGUAGGGAUAUUCUCAAGGAAUUGCAAGAUGAUGGGCUAUACACUUCACAUAGCCUGAGACCAUGGUGAGUACAUGGUCUUUUGACUUACUUUCUUUGUAGUUGUUUUACAAAUUGAGGAGGGGUAGCAGAUGGAUGGCAUUGCCAUGCAGAACUGAAAACACUGUUGUAUGACUACAGACUCUUCACUGGAAUAAAAACAGAUGCGUGAGAUGAUAGAUCGGGACAGACAUGCAUGCUCCAAGUUGUGAGCAGUUUUGUUUUUCAGAGAGAUGUUUAUCCUGGAAUGGAAAAAUUUCUUUUGAAUAUUUCUUAAUAUGCCAGUUAUGUGGUGUUUGGUCGGACAUGCGCAUUUGCAGCACCAUGGGGUACUCUUUGGCUGAAGUACAUAUUUUGUAUCUUCUUUGGACCUAAAUCAGACUGUUCAAGUGGUGUUUGCUCAGAACAUGCAGGUGGAGCACCAUGGGAUGCUCUUUUUCUGAGGUACAAAUUUUAUAUCUUCUUUGGUUUGCCAGAAAGCAAGAUGUUGGAAGAAAAGAAAUAUGCAUCUUAUGAACUAACCAAACAAGGCCUUAGAAUUUUAAUAUCUUAGACAUAAUAUAUGGGAAUGCGGUGUUUUAAUUUUAUGAAAGGAGUCUCAUUACUUUAGAGACAAUGAUAGAAUCUGCACUGUCAUAUAUUAUGAUGUUGCUUUUACUCUACCUGGACAGUUUUUAAGUGUAACUAUGUAUAAUUUAUGGCUAAAUCACAUCGGCAGGGAAGCACUAUCUAGGACCGUUUAGACACUACCUAGAAGAGUGUUCUGUCUACAAAGGUACAGAGUUCAGACACUAGUUAGAAGAGUGUUCUGUCUGCAAAGGUAUAGAAAGACUAAUAGUUUCAUUUCUCAUGUUGACAGUCAGCUACAAGAGUGUUUUGUCUCAUUUCUCAUUUGACAUAAUGAACUGUGAGUUUGCCAGCCAAAUGUCAUACACAAAGACAUACAGUGUUAAUAGCUGACAAGAAUAUGGACUUCCUUCAUCUGUCAUGAUGUGCGGUAUAGUUUAUUGCCGCCUGGUGGUGAUAGUCAACCCCCCUUGACACUAUCUUAUGUUAGCCCUUAUUUUCACGAUAUUUCCUUAUGCAGAGCCAAAGAAGGAAGAAAUAACAACACAACCAAAAGAAACAAAAUUAGGAUUUGAAGGACGGGAGGGCAGCACUCUAUUAAUAUUAUGAAUGAUCUGAAUUGCUGAUCAUUUUCUUUAAAUAAAAAACACUACCAACAAUUGAAGGAUUGCUUGAAUCAAAAAUACCCUUAUAAGGUUAAUUUAGUUCCUUCCAACAAAUUGUGUUCAUAAUUACCAUACAAUUUCUAUUGACUUUAAAAUAUGUGAGGAGUGAUCUAUGAAGGCAUGUUAUAUUCAACCUUAAUAUUAGUACUUAAAUAUAAUUUCUUUUCUUUAGACAUUCAUUGAAGCUAUUAUUUCCUUUCCCUUUGGGUAAGCCAAGUACGCCUGCUACAACUAGAAGAAAGUUCACUGGAUAAAAAGUUAUUCCCUCUGUAAAGAAAUGUAAAAGUGUUUAGGCAACUAAAGUAGUUAUCUAAACGCUCUUAUAUUUGUUUAUCGAGGGAGUAUAUAUUACCCAAGGAAACACAUAAAACCCAUCAGCAGAUCAACUUGCAUCAGGCACGCACUACUGCCCAGAGUCAAAACUUCUCAAAACUUAGCCUGCACUGAAUAGGAAUUGAGCUAAGGCAAAAGAUACUCACCGAUGCACCUCCUGCGGUCAGGGACAAACAGCAAAACGAGUCUACAACUCCAUGAGGAAGAUGUUCAGCCACCGUGCAUCUAGCUAGGCAGCAGGAAAGUCGCUCACGCUAGGCAGUAGGCACACAGGAUCAGACAGUGUCCUCGCACAGUCCACGGCGCUCCAUCCCCCCAUCCACCUCCAGCUCCAAAAUCACCUGCUCCCCCGCAAGUCCUGCCGCGUCGACUACCAUGCGUGGGCACCAGAUCCGGCAGAGGUCACCCUCGUGGGCUUUGCAAAUCCCACCACCUCCGCAUCAGCUGCCGAGCAGGCGGACCAGCGCGGGCUCCGUUGCUGUAGCGAUGGCCAUGGCUGACCGCCUCCUUCCGCACGAGCCAGGAUCUCCUCGAGAUUGCACGCGAGGCACGCGGUCUUGGCUUCGGUCUCUGGGAGAGCUCAGUCUUUGGCGGUCAAGAGCACGAACGAGAAGCAGGGCGCCGGCCACCGCGUGACCCGUGACUCCGGCAGAUCGGGUCACGGGCGAGCGGCUGCAGCAGCGAGCACUAGCACGCAAGAGAGAGGACAGGGGAGUCGUGAUGGUCAAUUCACUAGAGGAAAUGAUUUGGGGAAGAUGUUCUAGAUCCAUCUCGUCAUGUCUCUCUCUCAUAUUGCGAUGCGCUCAGCCUCAGAGUACAUCAGGCGCAACUAACAUACGAUCAUCACCUCAGGUGCAAUCGUGCAAUCGUGCGAUCCAACUAUGUGGACCCUUGUUCUCAAAAAAAAGUAUGUGGACCCUUGGAUGAGAAAUGAGUUGUCCAUAUUUAGCAGCUUGACCUAGAUAUGUUCUCUCAAAGAAAUUUGCGUACAUGACAUCUAGUGAAAUAUUGUUCAAUUUCCCGUCAAAAAAAUUGUUUAAUUUACAUGUGUUCAUCAAUGUAGCAACUCUUAUUUCUGAUGAAUCUGAUCUAGCAAAGGUUUUUUCUUGUUUUGCAGCAUAAUCCGUUUUAACUACCAUAAUGUGAAAUCUCUAUCGAGAACACUAUAAAGACACACAUACGCAAAACGUACAACAAUUCUGAAGAAGUCCAUAAAAGCAAAUUUCAAACAAAUCAAUGGAGCGCGGCGUGCCGCCGCGCACUACUCACUAGUUAGUAUUAUUAUUAAAGCCCUAAAGACUACAGAAUAAUAAUAAAACACAAACUAAAAUAGGAAAAACAAAGAGAGAGAGAGAGAAGAAACUUACCUGGCACCCACCAAAGCCCACCUCGCGGCCCAAGUGGCCGGCCCAGCCCACCUGGCCCCCUUCCCUAUCAUCUUCCUCCCUAGGCCAGUAGCUAGAGCGCAUGGCCGCAGCGCGCCGGCACGCGCCCCGGACACCUCCACCCUACCUACCUACGUCCCUGUCGCCCUGGAUCUCACCCGCGUCGCCACGCACCCCCCAGGCCCUCUCACUCUCUCUCGUGCCUUCCUCCACUCCUCUGGCUCCCUCUCUCUCCCAUCGAGCGGAGGUCGUCGCCGUCGCUCGCUGCUGCCGCAGCCACCAUGCUCCCCUCGUCUCCCCCGUGCUGCCCACGGGCCCCGCCUCCAUCUCCCUCUCCUCUCUGUCAACUCGCACGGUGCUGGACGCCCUGCAUCACCCUCUGCACCGCUAUCCUCGCCGCCUCUGCCCCGAGAUCAUCGGUGACCUCCCGUCGUCAUCAGCCCCUCCCCGAGCACGCCACGGCCACCCUUGCCCUCCCCGUGAGCUCCUCUGCCUCUUCCCCUCGCUCCCGUGCUCAGCUUCUCGCCGUAGCCAUCAUUUUGACGAUGACCAAAUCGCGCCGCCGCCGGAGCGCCUCACCGCCAUGGCCACGGUCACCGUAGCCUCCAAACAAGCUCACCCACGUGCUCGUCGUGUCGCGUAGGUGCCGUGGGAGCCAAGAACGCAACGCCAUGGCCACCAUAGCCUCAUCCCCGAGCUCGGCCGAACUCCGGCUGGCGCUGCUGUUGCCACCGAUGUCGUCUUAGACCACCCCAGCCCAAGCUAACCCCACUAGUCGAUGCGCGCGAGCUCCAGCUCCUCAUAGAUGGGCUCAGCCAUCGAUUUGGUAACCAGAGGUCAAAUCCCGAGCCCCUCCACCGUCUCUAGCCUCGCCGAUGAUGAACCGCGGGUCAACUCCAGCGAGUUUGACCCCGGUUGACUAGGUUUGACCUCGAGGGUCACUGGCGUGUGGGCCAGGGCCUGUUUUAAUUAGGUGUUAGAUUAGUUAGCACUAAUUAAUUUAGUUAAUCAGUUAAGCAACUGACAUGUGGGCCCAACCCUGCUGACAUUUUGUCAGGAUUAGUUUAACCCUAAUUAACUUAGUUAGCUAACUGAGACACUGACCAAUGGGCCCCACUGGUCAGGUUUGAGCUGGGCGGCGCCUGUUGACCUGCUGAGGUCAGCAUGACCUAAUGCUGACACAGUAAACAUUUCCUGGAAUUAAAAUAAAUCAGAAAUGAUUUAUAAAUUUUAGAAAAUGCUCUAAACUUCUAAAAUUCAUAUAAAUUCAACUGUAACUCAGAAUGAAAUAAUUUAUAUAUGAAAAAUGAUCAGAAAAUCCAAUCUAUCCAUCUAUACUAGUUUCAUACAUGUUUAAGCAACUUAAUCUUGUUGUUUUUUGCAAAACAUGAUAAGGCACUAUUUAAAUUCAUAAGUUGAGCUUGGGAUAGAACCUUUGGUUCAAAAUGACCCAAACCCAUCUGGUUGUAGUUGCAUUAGCCCAUCACACUCAUAUUGCCGUGUCAUGAUCAUGCAUCAUAUUAUGCAUUGCAUUUAUUGUGUUUCCUUCUUGUUUGCCGGUGGUUGUUCCCUCUCGAUAGACGUGUACCGACGAUGAGUUCAAUGGCACCGGUGAAGAGUUAUAUCAUCUUCAGAAGUGCGAGGCAAGAAAAACCCCUUGUUCAUUCCGAUACAAUCCCACUCUCUCGCUUCUUCUCUCUUUUAUUGCAUUAGGACAACAACGAUUAGACCGUUACAUGCUACGGUAGUUGAACCCCUUUCCUCUGCAUGACAUGUCAUUGCCACAGUAAAUAGAUGAAACACACUAGCAUGAGUAGGAGUUGUUUAUGCCCUGAUGUGCCUACUCAUUCAUGCCUUGUAUGUAAUGCCUGCUACUGCUUAGAUUUGAGUCGGGUCUGAUUCAUCUGGAAUGAAUUGGAAUGGUGAUGAACAUGUCCUACUGUGUGUGAGCUAAGUCUGUGAACACGAUUAUGUAAAGGUAGUGGUGAGAGGCCAUGUAGGAGUACAUGGUGGGUUGUCUUAUUGAAGCCGUCCUUAGGAACUGAGUUCUGUGUUUCUGAUCCAUGAACAGUUAUUACCACACAUUGGGCCUGAAACCGAUGGACCCUCUCGGCUUCUUUACCACCCUUGUCUCCUGUCCAGGAGUUGCAAGUAGUCUCUUGUAUUUGUAGUAUGCUAGAGGCCGUGCGCAGCGCCGACUAGAGGGUGUGCUGUGAUGCGGUAGGCACGUGGCCGGGUAUGCCGGGCGCCCGUUUGGUGUUGCGGAACCCUGUACACAUCGUUCAGCGCCGUAUGUGGAAACCUCGGCCGGACUCCCUGUGGAUGGAACCUGAAUAGGUGAUAAACUUGGACUAGAGACUUGAGUGUUUAGGUAGGCCGUGGCCGACACCCUCGUUGGGCUUCCGCUUGAAGGUUGCCGAGUACAUGUUGUGUAAACGACGAUAAGUGGUGAGAGCGUGUGUGAAGAAGUACACCCCUGCAGGGUUAACAUCAUCUAUUCGAAUAGCCGCGUCCGUGGUAAAGGACCUCUAGGUUGCCUAUACAGUUCAUAGACAAGUGAAAGUGGAUACUCUAAAAUACGCAAGAUAAGUGUGAGUGCUAUGGAUGGCGUUCUCGUAGGGAGACGGAAGCGGAUCCAUAGUGGUGUAUUGAUAUGGUGAAUAUGUGGACUCGCGUGCGCCACCUCAAAAGAGUUACUUGCAGUCAUAGUUCAGGAUAGCCACCAGGUCAAAGCUGGCUUGCUGAAGUUAAACUCCACCACCCCCUUUGUUGAUAAUGAUGCAUAUGUAGUUAGUUCUGAUGUAAGUCUUGCUGGGUACAUUUAUACUCACGUUUGCCUAUUUUAUGUUUUUGCAAAGAGACUUACGUCUCACUAGUAGUUUCACGUGGACUUCGACCUUUAGCUUGUUACCUCAGCUACGAUCUUGUGCCCUUGGCAGGAUCUGGUAGAUAGUCAGGCUUCUCAUGCCUUUUCAUUUGUAGUUGUCUAUACUCAGACAUGUUAAGCUUCCGCUUGUGCUUUGACUUGUAUGCUCUGAAUGUUGGGUCAUGAGACCAAUGUUUGUAAUAUCUCACUCCCCGGAGCAUAUUGAAUAAAUACUUGAGUUGUAGAGUUUUGUUGUGAUGCCAUGUUGUAUUUGCACAUAUCGAGCAUAUUGUGUGUAUGAUUGAAAUGCUUGGUAUGUGUGGGAUUUGACUAUCUAGUUGUUUAUCCUUGGUAGCCUCUCGUACCGGGAAAUGUCUCCUAGUGCUUCCACUGAGCCUUGGUAGCUUGCUACUACUCCAGAACACUUAGGAUGGCCGGCAUGUGUCCUUCUUCGUUCCUGUGUCUGUCCCUUCGGGAAAAUUGUCACGCAGUGUCUACUGGAGUCCUAUUAGCCUGCUACAGCCCGGUUUACCGGAGUCCUGCUAGCCCAGCUGCUACAUCCCGAGUUCACUUGCUGAUGACCGACACGUUCAUUGUUGGUUCAUGUAUGCAUGUCCCUAUAAGUUAGUGCCACUUUGGGUUUGUCGGCGUUCUCGGAACGGGGGUCCCCAGACUUGCCUGCCUCCGGCCUGUGGAAUGGCUCAGCAGUGGCCUAGUACGGCCCGUCUUCAUCAACCCAAGGUCAAGACCCUCGCGAGGGGCCAAGCCUCGCGGGACGGACGACGCAAGGCUUCCUCAGGGGCGGACGCACCAGGCAGGCUCGCGAGGAGGCGGAGAGAUCAAGGCAAGGAGUACCUCGCGAGGUGCUUGUGACGCAAGCCAUUACGAUCAAGACCAGGCAGGCGCAAGGCGGGCGCCAGCCCGCGCAGUGUCCUCGUUUCCUCUUUGGUGCAAAGGGGGCAAGCGCGGGCAUGGAGUACAGAGGCAUCAAGCAAAGGUUUCCAUAUCGGUGCAACGAGACCAAGACCACUAGAGCGGCAGGACGAAGUUCACUGUGGAGCCCAAGACGGCGUCAGCGCCAGUGCCUUUGGCAGUCAAAGACCACCUUUAGUAAGGAUAGCUUGUACUAGUUCUCACCCUUCAAAAUGGCCGUUGUUGGCUCCCUUCCCGCUCAAUAUUUGGGAAGAGGACCAGGGCCUCUAUAAAUAGAGAUAACCACCACAGUAGAAAGAGGGGCAUCUCAUCCAGAGACGCAUCGAAUCCUUCCCUGGUAGAACACCGCACCAGCUCAAGAACACCCCUCGUGAGGUUGUUCUUCCUCUGUACUGUUCA
rnacentral:lncRNA from 1 species